UUCUAUUCUAAUAGGUCGUCUGGUUAGUGUGCCUAAUUCCAGUUUGAGUAGUGCCGUUCUAUUCUAAUAGGUCGUCUGGUUAGUGUGCCUAAUUCCAGUUUGAAUAGUGCCGUUCUAUUCUAAUAGAUCGUCUGGUUAGUGUGCCUAAUUCCAGUUUGAGUAGUGCCGUUCUAUUCUAAUAGGUCGUCUGGUUAGUGUGCCUAAUUCCAGUUUGAGUAGUGCCGUUCUAUUCUAAUAGGUCGUCUGGUUAGUGUGCCUAAUUCCAGUUUGAGUAGUGCCGUUCUAUUCUAAUAGGUCGUCUGGUUAGUGUGCCUAAUUCCAGUUUGAGUAGUGCCGUUCUAUUCUAAUAGGUCGUCUGGUUAGUGUGCCUAAUUCCAGUUUGAGUAGUGCCGUUCUAUUCUAAUAGGUCGUCUGGUUAGUGUACCUAAUUCCAGUUUGAGUAGUGCCGUUCUAUUCUAAUAGGUCGUCUGGUUAGUGUACCUAAUUCCAGUUUGAGUAGUGCCGUUCUAUUCUAAUAGGUCGUCUGGUUAGUGUGCCUAAUUCCAGUUUGAGUAGUGCCGUUCUAUUCUAAUAGAUCGUCUGGUUAGUGUGCCUAAUUCCAGUUUGAGUAGUGCCGUUCUAUUCUAAUAGGUCGUCUGGUUAGUGUGCCUAAUUCCAGUUUGAGUAGUGCCGUUCUAUUCUAAUAGGUCGUCUGGUUAGUGUACCUAAUUCCAGUUUGAGUAGUGCCGUUCUAUUCUAAUAGAUCGUCUGGUUAGUGUACCUAAUUCCAGUUUGAAUAGUGCCGUUCUAUUCUAAUAGGUCGUCUGGUUAGUGUACCUAAUUCCAGUUUGAGUAGUGCCGUUCUAUUCUAAUAGGUCGUCUGGUUAGUGUACCUAAUUCCAGUUUGAAUAGUGCCAUUCUAUUCUAAUAGGUCGUCUGGUUAGUGUACCUAAUUCCAGUUUGAAUAGUGCCGUUCUAUUCUAAUAGGUCGUCUGGUUAGUGUGCCUAAUUCCAGUUUGAGUAGUGCCGUUCUAUUCUAAUAGGUCGUCUGGUUAGUGUACCUAAUUCCAGUUUGAGUAGUGCCGUUCUAUUCUAAUAGAUCGUCUGGUUAGUGUACCUAAUUCCAGUUUGAAUAGUGCCGUUCUAUUCUAAUAGGUCGUCUGGUUAGUGUGCCUAAUUCCAGUAUGCCUCAGCCUGUGACUGAGACAGAUUUUAGACCUGGGACACCAGGUGGGUGAUUCCCCUCUAGUCAGGGACUAAUUUAGACCUAGGACACCAGGUGGGUGAUUCCCCUCUAGUCAGGGACUAAUUUAGACCUAGGACACCAGGUGGGUGAUUCCCCUCUAGUCAGGGACUGAUUUAGACCUGGGACACCAGGUGGGUGAUUCCCCUCUAAUCAGGGACUGAUUUAGACCUGGGACACCAGGUGGGUGAUUCCCCUCUAAUCAGGGACUGAUUUAGACCUGGGACACCAGGUGGGUGAUUCCCCUCUAAUCAGGGACUGAUUUAGACCUGGGACACCAGGUGGGUGAUUCCCCUCUAGUCAGGGACUGAUUUAGACCUGGGACGCCAGGUGGGUGAUUCCCCUCUAAUCAGGGACUGAUUUAGACCUGGGACACCAGGUGGGUGAUUCCCCUCUAGUCAGGGACUGAUUUAGACCUGGGACACCAGGUGGGUGAUUCCCCUCUAAUCAGGGACUGAUUUAGACCUGGGACACCAGGUGGGUGAUUCCCCUCUAGUCAGGGACUGAUUUAGACCUGGGACACCAGGUGGGUGAUUCCCCUCUAGUCAGGGACUGAUUUAGACCUGGGACACCAGGUGGGUGAUUCCCCUCUAGUCAGAGACUGAUUUAGACCUGGGACACCAGGUGGGUGAUUCCCCUCUAGUCAGGGACUGAUUUAGACCUGGGACACCAGGUGGGUGAUUCCCCUCUAGUCAGGGACUGAUUUAGACCUGGGACACCAGGUGGGUGAUUCCCCUCUAAUCAGGGACUGAUUUAGACCUGGGACACCAGGUGGGUGAUUCCCCUCUAGUCAGGGACUGAUUUAGACCUGGGACACCAGGUGGGUGAUUCCCCUCUAGUCAGGGACUGAUUUAGACCUGGGACACCAGGUGGGUGAUUCCCCUCUAGUCAGGGACUGAUUUAGACCUGGGACACCAGGUGGGUGAUUCCCCUCUA